rnacentral:rRNA from 1 species
AGUGAACGCUGGCGGUAGGCCUAACACAUGCAAGUCGAACGGCAGCACAGUAAGAGCUUGCUCUUACGGGUGGCGAGUGGCGGACGGGUGAGGAAUACAUCGGAAUCUACUUUUUCGUGGGGGAUAACGUAGGGAAACUUACGCUAAUACCGCAUACGACCUACGGGUGAAAGCAGGGGAUCUUCGGACCUUGCGCGAUUGAAUGAGCCGAUGUCGGAUUAGCUAGUUGGCGGGGUAAAGGCCCACCAAGGCGACGAUCCGUAGCUGGUCUGAGAGGAUGAUCAGCCACACUGGAACUGAGACACGGUCCAGACUCCUACGGGAGGCAGCAGUGGGGAAUAUUGGACAAUGGGCGCAAGCCUGAUCCAGCCAUACCGCGUGGGUGAAGAAGGCCUUCGGGUUGUAAGGCCCUUUUGUUGGGAAGGAAAAGCAGCAGGUUAAUACCCCGCUGUUCUGACGGUACCCAAAGAAUAAGCACCGGCUAACUUCGUG